rnacentral:misc_RNA from 1 species
UCAAACUUGGUCAUUUAGAGGAAGUAAAAGUCGUAACAAGGUUUCCGUAGGUGAACCUGCGGAAGGAUCAUUAUUGAAACAUUGUAAAGAAAGUUGAGCUGGCUUCGCAUGUGCUUGCUUUCUUUCAAUCUUCAUCCACCUGUGCACUUUUUGUAGGAGAGCGCUUUAGAAAGGACAUGACAUGAGUCUAAGUAAAAAGAGCCCUUCCUAUGUUUUAUACAAGCCACUUGAAUGUAUGUCUUUGAAUGCCUUUUUAAAGGGACUUUAUUGGCCCUCUAAAAACUAUACAACUUUCAGCAACGGAUCUCUUGGCUCUCGCAUCGAUGAAGAACGCAGC